UGGAGAUGCCGGGAAUCACUGGGAAUGUGAAACGGUCCAGCCACUCUGGAAGAUACUCUAGUCAUUUCUUUAAAAUAUGCAAAUAUGCACGCAAAUAUGACCCAGCAAUUACACCCUUUUUAAACUGGAAAUGAUCCAGAUGCCCUUCAGUGGGUGCGUGGCAGAACAAACUGUGGUAAACCCGUGCCAUGGAAUACUUCUCAGCAGCAGAAAAGGAGAACUAACUGACCUUUAGGGAUCCUUCGAUUUGUUGACAGAUAGCCCUGGAAGGCAGAGUAGAUAUAAUUGCCUAUGGAGCAGAUAGGGUGAGAAGCAGCCUUGGAGAGCAUCCCAAGGGCACUGGAGUGGCUAGAGGGAGAAUGGGCAGAGGAGCCUGAGCAGAGGUCAGGGAUGAGAGUGGUGUCACAGCAGCUGAGAGAGGGGUUUGAGAAGAGAGUGGUCAACUGUGCCAGCAGAUGAGAAGCCAAGUAAGCAGAGACCUGCAGCCACAGGGAGGUCAGUGGGGCUCCAAGGAGAGCACUCUGCAGGGGGCACAACAAGCACCGAGGAGGCUGGAUCUAGCCAUGGAGAGUGUGUGGCUUGGCCUCAAAAAUUCAAGGGCAGUGAAAUGCUAAAAUUCCCAUCACUGUCUAAUUUGCUAGGCAGCAGUAAGUGAUGAUGUCUUGUAACAGUAUAGAAAAGAUACUGAUAGUCUAAGUUUUCUCAUAAAAGUGUCCCAUAGCUGUUCAGUUUUUAGUCAAACAUUUGUUUUACUCUGUGCCCCAGAUACAAUACUGAAUGAUGUGCAUAGAUUAUCUUAAUUAAGACUCACAAUUACUUCAUGGCAUAAGUACUAAUACAAGCUCAUUAUAGUGACAAGGAGACUGAGGCCUAAGAAGUAAAGCAGCUUUCCCCAAGUUACACUCUCAGAAAGUGUUAAGAGCCAGGAUUGUAAAAAGGAGUUUGUAACUUGCAAUUGAACUUGUAUAACGGCCAACUGAACUAAAGACUUAGAUCUUCAGUUUCUCCAAAUUGAAUUAUUUUGAGGCUGAAUCAUUCCUACUGGAUAAAAGGAGAAAGACUAUGGUGAAGAUUAGCUGAGUUAAGAAUAACUAGUUCCAAGAAAGCUUCAGUAACUAAAGGGUUCAGAUACUGUGCAGAAUGCUAAAUGAUUGGAGUUCCUGUCGUGGCUCAAUGGAAACGAAUCUAAGUAGUAUCCAUGUUUGAUCUCUGGCCUCACUCAGUGGGUUAAGGAUUCGGCGUUGCUGUGAGCUGUGGUGUAGGUCGCAGAUGAGGCUCAGAUCCCAUGUUGCUGUGGCUGUGGUAUAGGCUGGCAGGUAUAGCUCCAAUUCAACCCCUAGCCUGGAAACCUCUAUAAGCUGUAGGUAGGCCAAAAAAGAAAGAAAGAAAGAGAGAGAGAAAGAGAGAAAGAAAGGAAAAGAAAGAAUGCUAAAUGGUGGAUGAGAGUCGAUGUGCAUUUUCAGAUUCUUCUGUUAGAGGAAGAAUUAUGUUAUUAAUUUAGAAAAGGUCUGAGUGCCUCCUGUAUGCUAGGCACUCAGGAACAGGGAAAGAGUGGUGAGAAAAGUAGACCAGAAUUUUGCCCUCAUGAAGCUUAUAGUUUAGACACUGUCGUAUGAGCUUAUAGUUUAAGACACUGUUGUUUCUAUGGUUAUGGAGGUGAGAGGCUAUGGGGACCUUGGUCUAUGGGUGCGGAAGGUCUUAUUCAGCCUCUGAGAGUUUGAAUAACAUCCCCAAUGCUCCAAAGUUGUUUCCCCUUCUUUGUUAAUAAAUCCUGAAUUUCUUUCA
rnacentral:lncRNA from 1 species